GCGCCGAAAAUGAACGGGACUAAGCAUGAAGCCGAAACUCCAGACUGCACACAAUGGUGUGUGCAUUGGUAGGGGAGCGUUGGACGAGCGGUUGAAGCCAGAGGGUAACUACUGGUGGACGUGGUCCAAGUGAUUAUGCCGGGAUGAGUAGCGAGAAAGCAGGUGAGAAUCCUGCUCGCCGUAAACCUAAGGUUUCCUGGGCAAGGCAAUUCCGCCCAGGGUUAGUCGGUCCCUAAGGCGAGGGCGAAGGCCGUAGUCGAUGGGAAGCAGGUUAAUAUUCCUGCACCACUGUUAGCGUUGAAAGAGGAGUGACGGCGGGUCGAAGUGCGGCCAGUUAUUAGUUCUGGUUGCUGAGUUGGGGUGGCGAAUAGGAAAAUCCGUUCGCGUGAUCUCCGGCUCGGGUGGUAACCGCGUGGAAGUCCGUCCAAGAAAACCUUCGCUGGAGCGAAGCAGUGACCGUACCAAAUCUGACACAGGAGGGUGAGGCGAAUAGCCUCAGGCGCUC
rnacentral:rRNA from 1 species